rnacentral:ribozyme from 12 species
AGGAGAACGAUCGAAAGAAAGAGAGAAACAAAAAGAAAGACAGAGACACCAACCCCAUCCUCCAAGGAGAGAUGGAGAGGAGCGUGACUCGUUUUUCCGUUUCCUUUGUUCUCAUCCUCCUGAUGAAAUUCCCUCCUUUUUCUUCUUUUUUGU